rnacentral:rRNA from 1 species
GUGCAGCAGUCGAGAAAACUCCGCAAUGCCCGAAAGGGUGACGGGGGAUUCCAAGUGCCUACGCUUAGCGUAGGCUGUUCAGGUGCCUAAAAAGCACCUGGAGGAAGGGCUGGGUAAGACGGGUGCCAGCCGCCGCGGUAAUACCCGCAGCCCGAGUGGUAGUCGCUUUUAUUGGGCCUAAAGCGUCCGUAGCCGGUCUGGUAAAUGCCUGGGUAAAUCGUGGGGCUUAACCUCACGAAUUCCGGGUAGACUGCCAGACUUGGGACCGGUUGAGGGAGAGGGGUACUCCAGGGGUAGGGGUGAAAUCAGCAAGGUAAGCUGAUGUAACUUGCCUUGCAAGUCACAAUCCUGUAAUCCUUGGAGGACCACCGGUGGCGAAAGCGCUCUCCUAGGACGGGUCCGACGGUGAGGGACGAAAGCCAGGGGAGCAAACCGGAUUAGAUACCCCUGUAGU